rnacentral:lncRNA from 12 species
AUGAAGCACCCCACCCCACUACCUGUUGAGAAAGGAUAUGAUGGUGGACACUUUACCCUGUAUCAUGAUCAAGCCAUCCUCAUGCUUGGAAGGGAAUGCUCGUCUAAUGGAACUCAUUCUUCUAACUCCUUAAUGAUUCAUUCAUUUGAACGCUUGUUAUGUUGGGCACACAAGUGAAAACAUCCAGGAACCAUUUUUGGUUCAAAUCUUGAGAAGAAGAAUCUAGACUGGAGAGACAGAUCUGAACAUCAUCAACACACAGCCUGCAAUUGUUUUAAGUCAUGGGGUUGGAGAGAAUCCCCACAAGAGAAAGUAUAGAGUUUUGGGGGAAGAUGAGCUACAAUAAGAGAGUGUUUUCAUCUUGCAUGUAAUUAAAUAAAAAGUUCCCUUGUGAUAUAAAAAAAUAUAUA